GCCCAGGAGUUCGAGACCAGCGUGGGCAACAUGGCAAAACCCCAUCUCUAAAAUAAAAAUUUAAAAAAGUUAUUUCUAGAGCUGACAUCAGAAAAAUGAACCCCACCCAUUUCCCUGUUAGCUCUGUCUUCAACAGUAUAUUCCUCCUUCCCCUGCUGCCACCUGCAGGAAGUGCACCUUUGACAUGUUCAACUUCCUGGCCUCCCAGCACCGGGUGCUCCCUGAGGGGGCCACCUGUGAUGAGGAAGAGGAUGAGGUGCAGCUCAGGUCAACCAGACGUGCCACCAGCCUGGAGCUGCCCAUGGCCAUGCGUUUUCGUCACCUUAAGAAGACGUCCAAAGAAGCUGUGGGUGUCUACAGAUCAGCCAUCCACGGGCGAGGCCUGUUCUGUAAGCGCAACAUCGACGCGGGGGAGAUGGUCAUCGAGUACUCUGGCAUUGUCAUCCGCUCGGUGUUGACUGACAAGCGGGAGAAGUUCUACGAUGGGAAGGGCAUCGGGUGCUAUAUGUUCCGCAUGGAUGACUUUGAUGUAGUGGACGCCACGAUGCAUGGCAAUGCCGCCCGCUUCAUCAACCACUCCUGUGAGCCCAACUGCUUCUCUCGGGUCAUCCACGUGGAGGGCCAGAAACACAUUGUUAUCUUCGCCCUGCGCCGCAUCCUGCGUGGUGAGGAGCUCACCUACGACUACAAGUUCCCCAUCGAGGA
rnacentral:sRNA from 1 species